CAGUCAGCUUUCUCAGAAAUUAAAGACCACUUACAAAGCUUCUACUAGCAAGAUUGUUUCCAGCUUUAAGACUACAACAUCCAGGGCCAUCUGCCAGCUCGUGAAGGAGUAUAUCGGUCACAGGGAUGGAAUCUGGGAUGUGAGUGUUGCAAGGACACAGCCAGUGGUGCUGGGAACUGCAUCUGCUGAUCACACGGCUUUGCUGUGGAGUAUAGAAACAGGAAGGUGCCUUGUCAAAUACUCAGGUCAUGUUGGGUCAGG